ensembl:misc_RNA Metazoa_SRP Metazoan signal recognition particle RNA
GCUGGGCGUGGUGGCGCAUGCCUGUAAUCCCAGCUACUCGGGAGGCUGAGGCAGGAGAAUCGCUUGAACCUGGGAGGUGGAGGUUGCAGUGAGCUGAGAUUGUGCCAUUGCACUCCAGCCUGGGCGACAGAGUGAGACUCUGUCUCAA